rnacentral:rRNA from 1 species
CCUACGGGUGGCAGCAGUGGGGGAUAUUGCACAAUGGGGGGAACCCUGAUGCAGCGACGCCGCGUGGGUGAAGGAGUAUUUCGGUAUGUAAAGCCCUAUCAGCAGGGAAGAAAGAAGACGGUACCUGACUAAGAAGCCCCUGCUAACUACGUGCCAGCAGCCGCGGUAAUACGUAGGGGGCGAGCGUUAUACGGAUUCACUGGGUGUAAAGGGAGCGUAGACGGCCAUGCAAGCCAGGGGUGAAAGCCCGGGGCCCAACCCCGGGACUGCUCUUGGAACUGUGAGGCUGGAGUGCGGGAGGGGCAGGCGGAAUGCCUGGUGUAGCGGUGAAAUGCGUAGAUAUCGAGAAGAACACCGAUGGCGAAGGCGGCCUGCCGGCUCGCGACUGACGUUGAGGCACGAAAGCGUGGGGAGCGAACAGGAUUAGAUACCCCGGUAGUC